UACGUAGGGGGCAAGCGUUGUCCGGAAUCAUUGGGCGUAAAGCGCGUGUAGGCGGCCAGGUAAGUCCGUUCUGAAAGCCCGGGGCUCAACCCCGGGAGGCGGAUGGAUACUGCUUGGCUCGAGUCCGGAAGAGGCGAGUGGAAUUCCCGGUGUAGCGGUGAAAUGCGCAGAUAUCGGGAGGAACACCAAUGGCGAAGGCGGGUUGCUGGGCUGACACUGACGCUGAGGCGCGAAAGCCAGGGGAGCGAACGGG
rnacentral:rRNA from 1 species